UCCAAGCUUAUUCUUUAAACCAAUUCAGGAUAUUAUAGAUAUCAGCCCAGGAAAAUCUGAAAAAGAUAAAUGAAGCAUAGCAUAUAUUUCUAUGGUUAAUAUAUCCUGCCUAAUGAUAUUUGACCAAGUGUUGGACAAUGCUACUUAGGUAGAAAAGGAAAGUUGAACGUAUUUAAAAACAGUUUGCAGUGUAAAGUUAACUGUGUGUCUUGGUUAUUUCUUUUUGUAUAAAAGUAAGAUUUUCACUCGGUGAUUUUUAACCAACUUCUUCUAAACUUCAACUAAAGUUCAACCAGCCAGAUAUACAAUGGCUUCAGAUUCAGACACGCAAGAAAUCAUUUUGAUUCUUAUCGCUAUUACACUGGGUAUCCUCGUCUUCAGUAUGAUAUUAUUAAUUGUCUACAUCUGCAUAUUCCAACGACAAAUCAAGAAAAUCAAGAACACUCUGUAUUCACCGGCCGUGAUUGCAACGAGAAAAUAAUACCGAACACAUCAUAGACAUAGUCGUCAACAACAUUAUUCCUAUUCAUGGAUGAAAUGUGUAGAUAUUAUUAGACUUGUAUAAAAUUUUAAAUAGAUUUAUGAAACACCGAACACUCAGUUUAAUGUCGAAAACUAUAACAAAUUGCUUGCAAAGCAUUAUUUUAUAG